rnacentral:rRNA from 1 species
CAAAUAAUAUAAUUUAAUUUUAUUAAUAAAAAUUAAUUAUUUUUAUAAAAUAAUAUAUUUAAAUUUAUUAGGUGAAAUUUUAAAUUUAAUUUUUAUUUUAAUAAUUAAAUGAAGUUUGGAAAUUUUAAUAUUAAACUAGGAUUAGAUACCCUAUUAUUUAAAAUGUAAUUAUUAUUAUUAAAUUAUUAUUAGUUAUGUUCUUUAAAAUUAAAAAUUUUGGCGGUAUUUUAGUCUUUUCAGAGGAACCUGUUUUUUAAAUGAUAAUCCACGAUUUAAUUUACUUUUAUUAUUAGUUUGUAUAUCAUCGUAAUUAAGUAUUUUAUUAGAAUUAAAUAUUUAAGAUUUUAAAUUAAAAAAUUAUUCAGAUCAAGGUGCAAUUUAUAUAAAAGUUAAAAUGGGUUACAUUAAAUAUAUUUUAAGAAAAUUUUUAUUAAUAGAAAUUUGAAUUUGGAUUUGAUAGUAAUUUUGAUUAAUUUAUCUAAAUGAUUUUGCUCUAAAAU